rnacentral:lncRNA from 1 species
AGCAUUAACUUGUUCUUGCACAAAUUCAGAAAAUUGAGCUGCCGAAGGGCACUCAAAAAUAGGAUGAGACGGGCUAGAACAGAGAGCACAGACUUGUGCUUGGAGAAAGUUUGGAAGUUGUUCUCUAGACAUUAAUUGGUCCAACUUGCGGGACAGUGUAUCUACUUUGUCAGAUAGACCUAUGGACUGGCCAACUUCAUAUAUGGUCCCUUUUCUUUGAGAACUUGGGGGUGCUUGACGAGCGGAGGAGGCAUGGUGGAGGAAAUUUUCAUUGAGAUUUUCAAACAAUUGCCAUGCCUUAUAUUCACUUUUAAGCAUGAAAGUUCCUCCACAAGAAGCAUCAACCAUUUGACGAUUUCGUUCAGACAACCCGUCAUAAAAGCAUUGUACUAAUUGCCAUUUGGGUAUUUGAUGAUGCGGGCAUUUUCGAAGUAAAUCUCUAAACUUUUCUCAGGUUUCAUAAAAUUCUUUCCCGUCAGAUUGGGAGAAGCUCGUGAUAGCACGCCUAAAUUGGUUUGUUCUUCCUAUGAAAAAAUAUAUUUUUUAAAAAUUCAUGUUGCAUUUGGGCCCAUGAAAGAAUAGAAUUGGCUUCUAAUGAAUGGAGCCACUGCUUAGCUCUAUCCUUAAGGAAAAAGGG